UACGUAGGCAGCAAGCGUUGUUCGGAGUUACUGGGCGUAAAGAGUCUGUAGGCGGUGCUCUAAGUUUGGUGUGAAAUCUCCCGGCUUAACCGGGAGGGUGCGCCGAAGACUGGGGUGCUGGAGUCUGGGAGAGGAAAGCGGAAUUCCUGGUGUAGCGGUGAAAUGCGUAGAGAUCGGGAGGAAGGCCGGUGGCGAAGGCGGCGCUCUGGAACAUUUCUGACGCUGAGGCUCGAAAGCGUGGGGAGCAAACAGG
rnacentral:rRNA from 1 species